CUACCUUCAAAGACAUGAACAAAAAAUCCAUAUUAGACCCUUUUUUCCGAGUUCCAAAUUCAUUGUGAUGGUGUCAACUACACAUCUUGCACAAGGCACCAUUUUUGAAAAACUUAUUCAAGUAUCUUAUCUUAGAAAAAGUAGACAGGGGCCAUCAAUUUGCACUUCUAAUAUUAAGUGUUGAUUCUGAGAACUAAAAAUCACGUCAUAUAAUAUAACAAACAAACAAUUACAAACACCCCAUUUAUAUCCAGUUAGAAGCAAUGAGAGAAAAGCAAGACAAAGAAUCCUAAUAGAACGACAUUUAUUAUAAGACAAAGAAUAGUAGACAACAGAGAUAGGGAAAACAAAGCAAAACUCACAUGUUUUCUGUAACACCUUGAUUUCAUAACCCCCAGUCCUAGAGAUGGAAUUUUAUGAAGAAGGGUAAUUGGUGGAAAGAAAUAAUGAAUUAAUGGAAUAGGAGAGAGAUUGAAUUGAGGAUUCAAAAGAAGGUUUUGAAGGGGGCUUGGGAGUGCCCAUGAUGGUAAAAAGGGUCCCACAUAAGAUGAGUAAAGCUGGGACAGAAGUUGGACAGUAAAAGGUAAGACUGGGCAGAACCAGCUGGAGAGAUUCUGUCCAACCGGUCUGCCUGUCUUGAGGACAGAAUGCCCAGAAAUGAGGAAUUUCCUCUUGGGGGCCCCCACCAGUUGAAAGGGGUUUUCCAUCCACUAUUUACCAUGUGUAGGGAAGUGUUUGGAAGUAAAUAUGCAUGUGGGACCAUAUCAAAAUGCAUUUUAUAUUUUAAGUUAUUAAAAUCUGAAUAAAUAGGAAAUCUGUAAAAAUUUCGCUGCCAAACGGACCCUAACUUAUUUGGCCUAUAAAUAGGAGGAGAAAGAGAAUUAUUCCUCUCCUCUCACUAGUGUAAACCAGAAACGAAAUAGGAGAGAAGAAAGAGGGAAAAAAAAAGAGAAAGAAGAAAGGAAAGGAAGGAGAAAGAAGAAGAAGAGAAGAGGAAGAAGAGGUACAGCAGCCUUUUUGCUGCUGUACACAGAUUCGGCUGCUGUUGAUCAGCCAUGGAAGCUGCAGAAGGUGAGUGCAUGCAAGUGGGUUGUACUUUCUACUCCAAGGAGGUACUGAUUGGGUCUUGAUUCAGCUGAAAUUUGGAGGCAAGGAUGGCUGAUUUUAGCUGCAUGCAUGCAUCAAGAACACAAGAAGGAAUCUCAUAAUUACAAUUAUGGAGGAUACGCGAGGCUUAGACAUUGGUGAAGGAGUUCAAACAUGAGAUUUUAGGUGAAGGGUCUUCUGUGUUUUGCUGGGUUUUGGAUGUUUUUCUGUAUUUUGUUAUACAUUACUAUAUUCUAAUAUACUUUAAUGUGCUUGCUUGCAAUUUACUCUUCUUCUUGCUGAAUUUACUGUGAUAGUGCAUGUGUGUUAGGUGAAGUGUGUGGAAUCUAAGUUUGGAAGCAUGUGCUACUCAAUGAGAGAUAUGAUGAGUUGUGGAUGUAUACUAUGAAUGUGUGUGAUGUUAGCUGUAA